UGCACUUCUCGCUGUCGCCGAUAGGAAGUUAUGCAAAUUAUGAACGGAACGAUAAGAAAUUAUGAUUCGAGACUACUUGAAAUGGACGGAGGUCUCCUUGGGACGACUCGGUUUAGAGAGAUAUGGCAACAGAAGCUUCGUUGAUGAGAGAUAUAUGAGAUAAAUCUUGAUAUGGUAGCACAACUUGGAUACCAGGUCUCUCUUUAACUUGGAAAGAUGAAAGUGGCCAGCGCAUGGAGAUUUUUGAGUUGCCUACUCAUCAAUACUAUGUGGGUGACCAUAUCAAGG
rnacentral:lncRNA from 1 species